rnacentral:tRNA from 1 species
GUGUCUGAGGUUGAAGUAGUCGAAACGUCGGUUUGUGACGCCGAAGAAAGCGAGUGCAAGUCUCGUCAGACGCC